AUUUCCACUGAUAAGUUAAAAUGAUAGAACUAAAACAUUUGAGUGCAAAAAGUAAUAUUUUAGUAUCAAACAUUUGCUUGAACAUUACAUCACACAUUACUUGUUCUUAUUUGCAUUUGUUUAUCUAAUAAUAUUUAUUAUCUAUUGUUAUUGAGCAGUUAUUGCUUGAAUAGUAGAAUCACAGCAGUCACACAUAUGUUAUUUUAUGUAACUUGUCUAACAAAUUUUUGUUUUCUACUUUUUCCUUCCUCUUAAUUUUUGUAAGAUUACUCCUCUUCCAAUAUUGUUUAUUCUUAUCGAGUCUAACUAAUUUUAUGAUACCUACAUAAUUGCUCUUUUUUGUAUUCCCAUAUCAAAUAUUAAUAUUGCAUAACUAUGACUAUAAAUUAAAAAGUUAUACAUAAUAAAAUAGUGCUAGGGGAUAAGUGCUCUCUUCGGCCAAAUUUCGAAGACGACGCCUGCUUUCCUCCUACUAUUACUCUCGACUUGACGGUCGAGCCGCCGAUUGCACGCAACAGCUUCCAGGAGAGUUCGCAUAUGAAAAAUACGCUGAGGUCGUACUUUCCGCCAAAUCGUCAUUAGAACAAAGCCGUUAUUAGAACAUAUGGGGCAUUCCAUAUGAAGUGAUACACCCAAAUUUUCAAAGUUGUACGAUUAUGCUGAAAUUUGCACAAAUUGUAGUCCUAUCACAACUAAGAUUUUUGGCCAAAUUGUUUGACUCACGACCAACGGGUUGUCUAGUAACAGAGGCUUGAAGUUUUAGCAUUUGGGCCGUUGUGUCCAACUUCAAACGCCGGACCGAGCGCGUCACGCACGGUGCAGCUCGGCCGCUGUUGCAAGUGCCACGGAUGAUCCGAUCAGUUCUAUUGCUUGUGGCCA